CUUACUAACAGGUAAAUGUUUUUCCCACAUCACUGGGGAAAGCCGACAGAUACCCACCAGUUGUACAGGCUUCUGAUUGGUCAGGUUUUCCUGUUGUCAUGGUCCUUAAUGGAAGUGCCCACGGUAUUCUUAUUGAUGUUACCACUCAGUAAAAAGAUUUUAUUUUGCUUUCUCCCCUCCUCUGGGGAAAUUUAAGGACCAACUGAAAGCCACCCAUAUAUAACUUUUCAACAGGUUAGAGUAGGGUUUUUUUUUUUUUAAUGCAAUAAAUCAACCCAGACUUCAGUAAUUGGGGCACAAACAGAUGAGCCCCGUCAGGACGCAGCUGGAGCAUGUGGUGACUGUGGACACCGGGAGGGCCUGGUGACGAGGGGCAGGAGAACCAGGCUUGGUCCUGGGGGGGAGGCAGCUGGGAGUCUGACCACAGAUGAACCUGGUUGAGUGGGCGGUGCCAGUGCGGAUGCGGGAGGAACUAGCCCUGUUCCUGGUGAGGCUUCUGGGUCCCAGGGCUACCCAGGGAGCUCCCAGACCUCCCUGCCCAGCUCAGACAGCCC
rnacentral:lncRNA from 1 species